GGACCAAGGAGUCUAACACGUGCGCAAGUCACAGGGCAAACUUGCAGAAAUGACACUAAACCCUAAGGCGUAAUGAAAGUGAAGGUCAGGCACAGCACUGACCGAGGCAGGAUCCGUCCGAGUGAGCGAAGCUCUUGUCCCUUUGCGGGUUUCAAACCCCGCGGGGGAGCUCGGCGGCGCACUGCCGGCCCAUCUCGACCGCUUCUCGUCGGCGAGGUGGAGCAAGAGCGCACACGUUGGGACCCGAAAGAUGGUGAACUAUGCUCGGGCAGGACGAAGCCAGAGGAAACUCUGGUGGAGGUCCGUAGCGAUUCUGACGUGCAAAUCGAUCGUCGGACCCGAGUAUAGGGGCGAAAGACUAAUCGAACCGUCUAG
rnacentral:rRNA from 1 species